CGUGUCAGAAGUGCAUUUACA
rnacentral:miRNA from 1 species